CCCGCCGCCGCGCCCCGCCCAGCUCUGUCCCCGCAGCCUCGCGGGCUGCCGGGCUUUGUGGUUCGCCCGUGCCGCUGGGCCCCUGCUGGGGGUGUCGUUACGAGCAUGUGCAGACAGCAGCCCAAGCCUUCAGGAUAAUUCCUUCAGCAGCACCACUGUAACAGAGUGUGACGAAGAUCCAGUCUCUCUACAUGAAGACCAGACUGAUUGCUCCAGUCUCAGAGAUGAAAACAAUAAAGAGAACUACCCCGACGCAGGGGCUCUGGUAGAGGAGCACGCGCCGCCCUCUUGGGAGCCGCAGCAGCAGAAUGUAGAGGCGACCGUGCUGGUGGACAGCGUAUUGCGACCCAGCAUGGGCAACUUCAAGUCCAGGAAGCCCAAGUCCAUCUUCAAAGCGGAGAGCGGGAGGAGCCACGGAGAAAGUCAGGAGACAGAGCAUGUGGUAUCCAGCCAGUCAGAGUGUCAGGUGAAAGCAGGAACACCAGCUCAUGAGAGUCCACAAAACAAUGCCUUCAAGUGCCAAGAAACAAUGCGACUUCAACCAAGGGGGUGAACUAUAUAGAUUGACCCACAUUCUUUCACGCAGUUUCUGUUAUGGCCAAAAUUUGGGAGACCAGAAAAGACCUUGGGGAAACUUGAAGG
rnacentral:sRNA from 1 species